ensembl:lncRNA
GAAGAAUCUGAAAUCUGGAAGCAGAUGCUUUUGUUUUCUGUUUGUAGUCAAUUUGUAGUCCUGUUGGUCUUCUAUUAAAUUAGCACAGGGCCUUGGUUGCAUACAGGUAAACAGUCUGUCCAUAGACCAAAUAAGGGAUUGAAUUUUGGCAAAUGCAAUCUCAAAACAAUCAGUUCUAAAAUUAAUCUGCAAUAGUAAACAAAGACUUCUGGACAGAGCAGGAAAUCCUGGCUCAGAUAUCCAUUAGCUGCUGCUCUGGAUAUCCUUAUGUACCCCUGCCCCCAAAGGCUGAUAGAUUUGCAGUACGUUUGUUGAAUAGAAAGGAAAAGCAGAUUGGCAUAGAAAUUCUCUUUGCACCUUUAAACUCUUGUUGCGAUGACCUGCAGCAGGAAGAUACACCUUGAACAUAUCCAGCAGAGCUGAUCAGUAAGCAGCUUCAGAGGUCGAAGUUUAAAUGCUGCUGCUCCCAGGUGUGGAUGUGUUGAUAUCAAUUAGAAGCUGCUGGAUGCUGAAAGAAUCACGCAGGGUCAGCAACACCACCCAAAGGAAGAACAGUUAAAAGGAAAAAAAAUAGUUGCAUCAAAGCCAGCAUUUGUCCUCUUGCAUUUUACACAACAGCUUUCUCUCCGGCAGCCUCUCUUUGAAGUUCUUUUCAAAGACGUUCUUUCUCCUUUUACUUAAAAGCCUUUAGGGUUAGUCUGUGCAUUUAAGGUGAUCUGAUCUUUAUGGCCAUCCCAGAAAUACUUCAACCUAUGCUGUGGUUUUAUUUUAAGGAUAGCUGAUCUAGAAAACAUUACAUUAUGUGACCCAGAUGCAUAUUAAGAAGUAUGUUGAUGAAAGCGCUUUUCAAAAUGCAUUUAGUGCACCAUGCAGUGAUGAAGACUAGCUGCUCAUGAUGCCAGUUUAACUGAUUUAUUAACCUUAGGACUUGGAAUUGGAAGAUCUUUAAAAUAAUAAUAAUACAAUUUAUGAAGUGAUGCUAGAUAUUGACUGGGGAUGGCACAAAACAAAACAAAACCAAGGCACUCUGUUUUCAAGUACAACGAUGAUUUAUUCUACAAGCUUUCUGGCAAAGUCAGACAAUAUGUGUUGACUUUAAGUCUUCAUCAGAGUCUAACGAACACGUGAUUCGUCAACUUCACACCAAAUACAAGCAUUUGUAUUUGAAACAUAAACCCCAUAGAUGUUUGUGCACUUGCUCUGGUUUGACAAGUCUUCAGGGGAUCUAUAUUUAUGGCUAACAGCCACAAGCACAAAAAACUACUUGUAUGGCACAAAUGUCACAGUAAAUACCACAUUAAACAGCCACGAAUUUGUGCCAACAUUUAGACUGUAGUCCUUCAAAAAGCUCACCUGACAGAUUAUAUCCGGAAAACAUAACUUGUAAUUAGAUUACAAGUAGACAGGAGCAGUGUGCCCUUUACUUUUGGAGUUUCUUCCUGCUUCUGUUUCCAGUGUGGCUUCAAUUCAACUGUAUGCCGAUUGUACACAAGUUUAUUGUAAUGUCUUGCAGGAAUAAGCGUAGGAAAAAUUACAGUCUCUUGUGUACUUUAGGUCAGUUGGUAGAGCAAAUCGCUACGAGCAGCUUAUAUACUUGCUUUUUAGCAAUCAUGGUUAAUGAUGUACUUUGUGGUUACAUAUCCUGUAUUAGACAAAUAAGAGCCAAAUCAUCCCUGGCCAGUACCUGAAUAACAUCCUCUAGCACACCCAGUUUCUCUAAGCUUUUGCUGUGGUCUGUUUAAUCUGCUGCUACUCAUACUUCACUACCACACAAUGUUUGUUUGGAUCUUGUGGAUGUGCUGCGACUAUAAGACUGUGUAUAAAAAAUGAAUGGCUGUCGUCAUCUUUGCCUUUUGCGACCUGAGGUCCCGAGCCACGGUAGAUCUGUCUUAUGGGAAACUGGUCCAAGCACUUCGCUUCGGUCGGCUGCUUUAGAAUGAAUGCAGACUUCCACGUCCAUCUUUCAUAUGCAGUCUAUGGUUCUGCCAAUUUCCCCAGAGCCCUUGAAGUCACAUGUGCACGAGAGCCACCAUAAUAUGCUAAUGUGAAAGUGUCAUACAACUAAACUUGAGGGGCUCUGCAACCUCACCCCUAAAAUUCCACUGCAAACAACAAGUCCUCGAAGGCGUCGUAGGGAUAUGUGUAGUAGCCAGUUUAAAGCAAGUAAAGCAGUGCUCUGAUGCUAACAAGGUUUGCAGGUAUGCUAAAAAACUGUUACGUGUUUUUAACACCACAGCCGUUGGUGGUCCGAAAAAUUCAGGAAAGCAAAUUUUAAAGAAAAAAAAGAAAAAACAACAACAAAAAAAGUCUUGAUAAUUACAGUUUUCUUAUCUGGACAGUGCUGUGUCCUACCUGAAGUUGUGGAUGUUGGUACAAUGGUGACAGUCAUGGCGAUGUUAAUGGUGCUGAAAACAGUGACUCUGUGUCACACGUGAUCAUGUCAUGUCGAACAUGAUGUUAACGGCUAAUGUACAGACGAUACAUACGUCAACCACCCAGUCACGGGGCUGAGGGGCGGGCUUUCACGUUCUCCGAUUGGGUAAUGAACCAGUACUUUGUUGUUGAGGUAAAAUUAUCAGUUAAUAGUGGUGCGCUGAUUAUAUAUAGACUUGAACAAAAAAACAUGUUUAAAAGUAAACAGUGAGUUAAAAAACUCAAAUCAUCUUUUAUCAAUUAAUGCAAGUAUUUAUGUUUAUUUAUUUUUGUAUUUGUUUUAUAUCUAUUUAUCUAUUGUUUACUCACUUGGUGGCCAUGUCUUUGGUAUGACUCUUAUAUUGAGAUGUAAAAACUGAAAAUAGUUUUUCUUUUUUUUUCUUGUUUUUUUUUACUCAUUCUCUAUAUCUGUAUAUAUCAGAGUGAUGCUAUUCUAAGACGUGCGUGUAUGAGUACGUGUGCUUUGGUUUGUAUGUGUCGUAUGUACAGUAUGUCUGUAAGGAUGUGCUCUUAGUUUUUUUUUUGAUAAUGCUGCUUAAACAUCCUCUGAGUGAACGAGCAGAAAAUAAACCAGUGGUGAAAAUAUCUAUGACGAUGUUAAAAAAGAACUCAACAAGCUGUGCUGAUAACUGUAGAUGGGAACAAUACUGUAGUAAACAUGGCUGAACGGCCAGCAAAAUAA